rnacentral:lncRNA from 1 species
AUCAGGUGGACUUCCAAAUCUGAAAAGGUGGAUUUCAUAUCUGAAAGAGAAGGGGUUCAAAUUCUUGAAGCAAAUCCUGCUGACAAGAUCAACAAGGCUGAAAUUUUCUCGAAGGCUAUUUUGUCAUUGGAGAUUGGCUUGUCUUCAUCAAUCUCCACAGACACUCCUUGCUGGUUUCAGAAGUUUAAGGCUUGGGGAAGCUGCUCCAACAAUUGGUAUCAGAGCACAAGGUCAGAGGAAGAAGCCAGGAGCACGAAAGUUUGUC